rnacentral:rRNA from 1 species
AUUGAACGCUGGCGGCAGGCCUAACACAUGCAAGUCGAGCGAGCGGCGGACGGGUGAGAAUCGUCUGGGAGACUCCCUGAUGGAGGGGGAUAACUACUGGAGACGGUGGCUAAUAUAGCAUACACUCGGAGAUGCCCAGAUGGGAUUAGCUAGUAGGUGGGGUAAAGGCGCACAUAGGCGACGAUCCCUAUCUGGUCUGAGAGGAUGACCAGCCACACUGGAACUGAGCCACGGUCCAGACUCCUACGGGAGGCAGCAGUGGGGAAUAUUGCACAAUGGGCGCAAGCCUGAUGCAGCCAUGCCGCGUGUAUGAAGAAGGCUUUCGGGUUGUAAAGUACUUUCAGCGGUGAGGCGUUACCCGCAGAAGAAGCACCGGCUAACUCCGUGCCAGCAGCCGCGGUAAUAC